GACAGAGGUGCCAAGCGUUAGGCGGAAUCACUGGGCUUAAAGCGUGUGUAGGCGGAUCGUUAAGUACCUUGUGAAAUCCCACGGCUCAACCGUGGAACUGCUGGGUAUACUGGCGAUCUUGAGCCACCUAGGGGCGAGCGGAACAAGCGGUGGAGCGGUGAAAUGCGUAGAUAUCGCUUGGAACGCCAAUGGUGAAAACAGCUCGCUGGGGGUGUGCUGACGCUGAGACACGAAAGCCAGGGGAGCGAACGGG
rnacentral:rRNA from 1 species